rnacentral:rRNA from 1 species
UUUCCCUACGGGGGGCAGCAGUGAGGGAUAUUGGUCAAUGGGGGAAACCCUGAACCAGCAACGCCGCGUGAGGGAAGACGGUUUUCGGAUUGUAAACCUCUGUCCUCUGUGAAGAUAAUGACGGUAGCAGAGGAGGAAGCUCCGGCCAACUCCGUGCCAGCAGCCGCGGUAAUACGGAGGGUGCAAGCGUUACUCGGAAUCACUGGGCGUAAAGAGCGCGUAGGCGGGAUAGCAAGUCAGAUGUGAAAUCCUAUGGCUUAACCAUAGAACUGCAUUUGAAACUGUUAUUCUAGAGUAUGGGAGAG